GACGAACGCUGGCGGCGUGCUUAACACAUGCAAGUCGAGCGGAAAGGCCCUGCUUUUGUGGGGUGCUCGAGUGGCGAACGGGUGAGUAACACGUGAGUAACCUGCCCUUGACUUUGGGAUAACUUCAGGAAACUGGGGCUAAUACCGGAUAGGAGCUCCUGCUGCAUGGUGGGGGUUGGAAAGUUUCGGCGGUUGGGGAUGGACUGGCGGGUUAUCAGCUUGUUGGUGGGGUAGGUGCUUACCAAGGGUUUGAGGGGUAGCCGGCCUGGGAGGGGGACCGGGCACAUUGGGACUGAGAGAGGGACCAGUCGCGUACGGGCGGCAGCGGGGGGGAGUAUUGCGCAAUGGGCGGAAGCCUGAUGCAGCAGCGCCGCGUGCGGGAUGACGGGUUUCGGGUUAUAAACCGCUGUCGCCGGUGACGAAGCGUGAGUGACGGUAAUGGGUAAAGAAGCACCGGCUAACUACGUG
rnacentral:rRNA from 1 species